rnacentral:tRNA from 1 species
UGUUUUAAUAAUUUAAUAAAAAAUACUGGUCUUGUAAAUCAAAAAUGAAAAGGUUUUUCUUAAAAC